UUGUCAACGAAGUUAGCCCAUUUAGUUUGAACAACGUACAACUUUAUCAAAAUUUGAGGGAUCUAAUGCGAUAAGUAGUGAUGAUUAUUUUGGCCGUUCAAACAAUAAAACACGUUCUGGUUCAUAUACAAGUGGCUUGUCAAAUGUUACUGCCAAUCUGUAUGACGUAAAAGAAGGUGUUCGCGAUGGAGUGAGUCGAGUUGCUGGUCGUCUCUCUUCACUUGCUACAGAUGUUAUGUCAUCCUUCCAGGAGAAAGUUGGAUAUUAACAGGUUUUCCAUGAGUCAUGAAAAACUCGGUCCAGUUGUUUUAUGGUUCAUCAAAAUGCUUAAAAGUUGGCAAUGGUCUAUUUUAUUUAUAAUUAUGUUCAUGUUACACAUCCAUUUUAUCUGAUGUCAAUAAUAAAAGAUCUUGCAAACAAUUUUGA